CUGAAGAGCAAAUUCAUGUAUUGGAAAAAAGGUCAAAAGAUAGCUAGAAUGAAUUACAGAAACAAAAAAUAAAGACAGAAAACAAGAGAUGGAAAGCCUAACGUGUUCGUUGGAGUUCCAGAAAGAAAAUGGGAGGGAGGCCAAGGCAGGCAGAUCACAAGGUCAGGAGUUCAAGACCAGCCUGGCUAACAUGGUGAAACCCCAUCUCUACUAAAAAUACAAAACUUAGCUGGGCAUGGUGGCGCGUGCCUGUAACCCCAGCUACUUGGGAGGCUGAGGCAGGAGAAUCGCUUGAACCCAGGAGGUGGAGGUUGCAGUGAGCCAAGAUCGUGCCACUGCACUCCAGCCUAGCAACAGAGCGAGACUCCGGCUCAAAAAAAAAGAAGAAAGAAAAUGGGAGAGAGGCAUUAUUAGAAGUUAGAAUGGCAGACAGUUGUCUAGAACUGAUGAAAGAUACAAAGACACAAAUGCAAAAAGCCCAGUGACUCCCAAGUGGGAGAGACGAGAAGGGUCCACUCCUCCUGCCCCUGCUCUGGCGGGGCCUGGCUUCCCAGUCCCCUUGUUUCUGCAAUGUGGCUUCAGGGCAGGGUGGCCAGGCGUCAGGCUCUGACUUUCCUCCUUGUCCUCCAUUGUCCCUGACAGUGGGAAGGUACGAGGGAACAAAGCUUUCAAGGUGGAGUGGCUGUUGGGAACUGUAUAAAGGAGACAGGACACUUCUUCCUUUCAUGGGUCACAGACUAAUCUGGCUGUUUGACCCACAUAGUGCCUUUAAAGCAGGGGUGUCCAAUCUUUUGCCUUCCCUG
rnacentral:lncRNA from 10 species